AUUGAACGCUGGCGGCAGGCCUAACACAUGCAAGUCGAGCGGAGCGGCGGACGGGUGAGUAAUGGCUAGGAAUCUGCCUGUUAGUGGGGGAUAACGUCAGGAAACGGGCGCUAAUACCGCAAACUAUCGAAUUCGCCUAGGUCGGAUUAGCUAUUUGGUGGGGUAACGGCCGACCAAGGCGAAGAGACGUAACUGGGCUGAGAGGAUGAUCAGUCACACUGGAACUGAGACACGGUCCAGACUCCUACGGGAGGCAGCAGUGGGGAAUAGUGGACAAUGGGCGAAAGCCUGAUCCAGCCAUGCCGCGUGUGUGAAGAAGGUCUUCGGAUUGUAAAGCACUUUAAGUUGGGAGGCGUUACCAGCAGAAUAAGCACCGGCUAACUGCGUGCCAGCAGCCGCGGUAAUUC
rnacentral:rRNA from 1 species